rnacentral:rRNA from 1 species
GACGAACGCUGGCGGCGUGCCUAAUACAUGCAAGUAGAACGCACAGUUUAUACCGUAGCUUGCUACACCAUAGACUGUGAGUUGCGAACGGGUGAGUAACGCGUAGGUAACCUGCCUGGCAGCGGGGGAUAACUAUUGGAAACGAUAGCUAAUACCGCAUAAUAUUGAUUAUUGCAUGAUAAUUAAUUGAAAGGUGCAAUUGCACCACUACCAGAUGGACCUGCGUUGUAUUAGCUAGUAGGUGAGGUAACGGCUCACCUAGGCGACGAUACAUAGCCGACCUGAGAGGGUGAUCGGCCACACUGGGACUGAGACACGGCCCAGACUCCUACGGGAGGCAGCAGUAGGGAAUCUUCGGCAAUGGACGAAAGUCUGACCGAGCAACGCCGCGUGAGUGAAGAAGGUUUUCGGAUCGUAAAGCUCUGUUGUAAGAGAAGAACGGGUGUGAGAGUGGAAAGUUCACACUGUGACGGUAUCUUACCAGAAAGGGACGGCUAACUACGUG